UCUCCAUGCUCACUCCUGGUGCUUGGCAUUCACUUCCUUAAAAAAUUCAGCUGUAUCUUAUUACAGUUAAAAAUCUCACCACAUGCCUCCAUUUUUUUUAAACUGAAGUACAGUCAAUUUAUAAUAUUAUAUUAGUUUCAGGUGUACAGCAUAGUGAUUCAAUAUUUUUAUAGACUAUGCUCCAUUUAAAGUUACUGCAAAACUAUGGCUAUGUUCACCUGUGCUGCACAAUGUAUCCUUGUUACUUAUCAUUUUAGACAGUAGUUUGUACCUCUUAAUUCCAUACCCUAUUGUCUACCUCUCUCCUCUCUAUCCCCACCCACCAGAAACCACUAGUUUGUUCUCUAUACCCCAAAUGACUCCAUUUAAAAAAUUUCCAUUGAAUUUAGAAUAUAACUAAACUUCUUUCUGUGGCGUAUUUUUUCUCCAACCUCACUUAUCAUUCAACUUCUUUCAGACACAUCAACUCCUGCCAUCUGCCACAUUCCAGAUUAUUCUUUGCCUACGUGUCUUCCUACAUGUUAGUAUCUGCCCCAAAUGGUCUCUGCCAUUCUCCACAUAGUGGACUGUUUCUCAACCUUUGGUUCCAGAAAGGCCACUUUAUAGAAAUCUGGGUCCAAUCAUGAGAGAAAACACUAAGUAGGUUAAAUUGGGGAUGUUUACUAUAAAGAACUAUUAACUGAUAAAAAGAUAACUGAGAUAUAUAAGGAAGCUCUAUAUGGUGUCCUCAGGCUAAAGAAGAGAAUUCAAAGAAGGAAACACUUGGGAGUGGUUCAGAUCUCAUUAGAAGAAGUAUGGUUUGGUCACUGGAUAUCAUAAAAGUUUGCUGGUAUAACUUGACCAGAGCUGGUGUGUACUUGCUAGGUGAACAAAAGACAACCCUCUGGAGAGGGGAAAAUUAAAAUUACUAGCAAUGGGCUAUUGAUCAUGGGAAUAGGAGCAUGGUAGUCAGCAGUGAUAGAGGGCUUACAGAGCCUGAGGGCCAUAAAGACUGGGGAGAAGGUUACAGAAGGAAUGACUACUGGGUGUCUGUCACUUGGGUACCUGAAAACUAUUUAAUAGGGAGAGAAAUCAUUACAAUGUUUGACCUCACAGGGACUCUGGUCCAGAAAGCUGAGAUAAGGUUAUUGCCAGACAAACUGCAAGGUCACAGAGACACAUCUCCCUCUGUAAGAUGCCCUUACUCCUACCAGCCAUCUCUCCCCUGCUCCCUCACCCCCAAUCCUCCUGCUAGAAAGUAGAGGAAGCCCCUUCUUUCUACAAUAUCUCCCAAGAACCCUCCACUGAGAAUGCUCAACAUCGUGCUCACUUUAAAGGGCAAAUUCUUUUUUUUUUUUUUUGUCUUUUUGCCUUUUGAGGGCCACACCCAUGGCACAUGAAGGUGCCUAGGUGAGGGGUCUAAUCGGAGCUGUUGCCGCUCGCCUAUGGCAGAGCCACAGUAACACCAGAUCCGAGCUGCCUCUGUGACCUACAUACACCACAACUCAUGGCAACACCAGAGCCUCAGCCCCCUGAGAGAGGCCAGGGAUCAAACCCACAACCUCAUCAUUCCUAGUUGGAUUCAUUUCCACUGCACCAUGAUGAUGGGAACUCCUAAAGGGCAAAUUCUUAAAGGAAUUCUGUUGUUCAGCAAAUGGAAUCUACCAAAGGGUUCAUUCAGAGCAACAAACUAAUAACUGAUACAUGGCUCUCGUGUCUCAAACUUAAGCAGCCCUGCAAGCUUAACCCAUUAUUCUCAAUCUGAUCUCUCUGUUUCUUCAGUAGCUUAUAAUUUUCUCUUCAAUUUUAUUUGGUAACUUUUAUUCUUCUAAUUAUCUAAUUAGAAUGCAAGCAAAUUAAAACAGAGACAAUACUUGUUAGGUUCAUUGUAUUCCUUGAGCCAGGAAGGGUACUCAAAAUAUUUUUUAAAUGAAUGUCGAAUGAAUUUCCAGAAUUGACUAAAGAAGUUACCUCUCUUAGACUAGCAAUAAGAUGAUGAUUCCAAUUCCAAGUUUGAUAGGAAGACAGGAGUAGAAGAAGAAAGGGGAAGAGUAAGAUGGAUUUUGCUGACCUGCUUCUGCUUAUUGUCUCCAGCAUGCUUUUUUUUUUUUUUUUUUAAGAAGAGAGGUAAGGAAGAUUCUAUAAUAAUACUUAUAUUUUUAAUGCAUUUAACCCCUAAAUACAGUGCCGAUAUCCCUAUCCAAGUAUUAGACUAAUUCUUGAUUGACUUAUGGGUAUACCCCCCUGGUUUUGAGUUACAUGAAAAAUGCAUAUAGCCAUCAGAAGGUAGAAUUCAUGCUGAAGAUCUGCAAAGUAUUUUGUGACCUCAUCUUUAUUUAUGAGAGUUAUGCCACAGGAAAUCGUGUGCUUCAAGGCAUUAAAAUAACCUAUUACUAAAAAGAAUUUAAUCUCAUCAUUCAACAUACCAUGAGUAAAUAGUAUGGUAAUAUUUUUGUUUUAUGGCUUCACCUGUGGCAUAUGGAAGUUACAGGGCCAGGGGUUUAAUCCAGUCCCAGGUGCAACCUACACCACAGCUGUGGCAAUGCAAGAUCUUAUAAUCCAUUCCACCAGGCUGGGGAACAAAUCUGCACCUCUGCAGUGAUCCAGGACACUGCAGUCAGAUUCUUAAGCCAUUGUGCCACAGUAGGAACUAUAGUUAAAUAAAAAUAAUUUGAUUCCAAAUUUUCUUAAUCUCCUCCUACCCCCCCCAUUUGUUUGGUUAUCUCUGAAGUAUAGUUGCUAAAACAUCCCUUUGCAUGCAUUCAUUUCAGUCAUGAAAACUUAAAAUCACCAAUGUUUUAAAAUUAUAUAUUCUCAUAUACUGAGACUGCUGUGUUCUCAAAGUAGAGUCUAUAAAAUCCUGGAAUGCAUGGAAACCAUUUAAUUGGGGAAGAAAUUAUUAUAUUGUUCACUCAAUUAGUUGAAUUCUUAGUUCUCUGAAAUAUCUCUAAUGACUUUUCUAAAAUUGUUUCCCCUUUCAAAUUAGAAUAAAUGCUAAGAAUGCUAAGAAUGAGGAAUGGGCAUGGUAGGAGGAACCUGAUUUAUGUUGGUUCCAGGGAAAGCCUUUCUGAAUGACAUUUAAGUUUAGACCUAAACUUUGAAAAGGAAUCAGCUAAGGAAAAUGAAAAGAAAAAGUGUUUUGGAUGGAAGAAAAUAGCACACCUGAAAGUUUAUGUCAAAGAGGGGUUUUGCUUAUGUUUUCCUCUAAGAAUUUUAGAGUAUUCAGCCCCACAUUUAGGUCUGUAAUCCAUUUUCAGUUUAUUUUUGUGUAUGGUACUGAGAAUGUUGUAAUUUCAUUCUUUUGCAUGUAGCUGUCCAGCUUUCCCAGUACCACUUAUUGAAAAGUCUGUUUUUUCUCCAUUGUAUAUUCCUGCCUCCUUUGUCAUGGAUUGACCAUUUGUCUGUAGAUUUAUUCCUGGGCUUUCCACUGAUCUAUAUUUCUGUUUUUGUGCCAAUACCAUACUGUUUUGAUGACUGCAGCUUUGUAAUAUAGUCUGAAGUCAGCGAGCCUGAUUCCUCCAGCUCAGUUCUUCUUUCUUAAGAUUUCUUUGGCUAUUUGAGGUCUUUUGUGUUUCCAUACAGAUUUUUAAAUUUUUUCUUCUAGUUCUGUGAAAAAUAUCAUUGGUAAUUUCACAGGAAUUACAUUGAAUCUGUAGGUUGCUUUGGGUAGUACAAUCAUUUUGACAAUAUUGAUUCUUCCAAUUCAAAAUUAUGGCAUAUCUUUCCAUCUGUUUGUGUUAUUUUCAAUUUCCUUUAUCAGUGUCUUAUAGUUUUCAGAGUACAGGUCUUUUGCCUCUUUUGGUAGGUUUAUUCCAAGGUAAUUUAUUCUCUUUAAUGUAACAGUAAAUGGAAUUUUUCCUUAAUUUCUCUUUCUUAUCUUUUGUUAUUGGUUUAUAGAAAUGUGAGAGGAUUUUGUAUUAAUUUUGUAUCCUGCAACUUUAUCAAAUUCAUUGAUAAGCUGUAGCAGUUUUCUGGUAACAUCUUUAGGAUUUUCUAUGUAUAGUAUCAUGUCAUCUGCAAAGAGUGACAGUUUUACUUCUUUUCUGAUUUGGACUCCUUUCAUUUUUCUUCUCUGAUUUCCAUGGCUAGGACUUCCAAAACUAUAUUGAAUAGAAGUGCUGAGAGUGGACAUCCUUGUCUUGUUCCUCAUCUUCGAGGAAAUGCUUUCAGCAAUUCACCAUUGUUUAUGAUGUUAGCUGUGGGUAUGCCAUAUAUGGCUAUUAUUAUGUUGAGGUAUGUUUUCCCUCUGUGCCCAUUUUCUGGAGAGUUUAUAUCAUAAGUGGGUGCUGAAUUUUGUGAAAAGAUUUUUCUGCAUCUAUUAAGGUGACCGUAUGGUUUUAAUUCCUCAGUGUUUUAAUGUGGUGUAUCACAUGAUUGAUUUGUGGAUAUUGAAGAAUCCUUGCAUUCUUGGGAUUAAUCUCACUUGAUUGUGGUGUAUGCACUUUUUAAUGUAUUGUUGGAUUUGGUUUGCUAAUAAUUUGUUAAGGAUUUUUGCUUCUAUAUUCAUCAAUGAAAUUCAUAUAUAAUUUUCCUUCCUUUUAAUGUUUUUGUCUGGUUUUGGUAUAAAGGGUGGUUUUGGCCUCAUAGAAUGAACUUGGGAGUGCUCCUUCUUCUGUAAUUUCUUGGAAUAGUUUCAGAAGUAUAGGUGCUAUUUCUUUUCUAAAUAUUUGAUAGUAUUCUCUGUGAAGCCACCUGGUCCUGGACUUUUUAAAGAAGGUUUUUAAUCACAUUUUCAAUUUCACUACUUGUGAUUGGUCUGUUAAUAUUUUCUAUUUUUUCCAGGUUCAGUCUUUGAAGGUUGUACCUUUUCAUCUAUGUUUUCCAUUCUGUUGGCAUAUAGUUGCAUGUAUUAGUCUCUUAUUGUCCUUUGUAUUUCUGUAUGUCAAUGGCAACUUCUCCUUUUUCAUUUCUGUUUUUAUUGAUUUGAGUCUUUUUCUUUAUGAGUCUGGCUAAAGGUUUAUCAAUUUCGUUUUUAUUUUCAAAGAAUCAGAUUUCACUUUCAUUGAUUUUUUUUCUAUUGUUUUCUCUGUCUAUAUUUCAUUUAUUUCUGGUCUGAUCUUUAUCAUUUCUUUCAUUUACAAUUUACAUUUGAAUAUGAUCAAAUUAAUAAUAUUCCCUUAUGAUAAUAACUAAUGUUAUUAUCUAAACUUAAGUUUAUUAACUAAACUUAAUGUUGUUAAGUUUAUAAAGUUUUCCUUGAUCAAAAGAUUUGAUAAAUAUUUAUUUUUAUUUUCUUAGAGUUUCUUUAACUGCACAAUUUAUCUAAGCACAAUCUUAAAGUACUGUGUGAUGGAUUAAAAAGAAACUAGAAAUUACUCUCCAUUAUAGAACUUAUAACAAGUAUAAAUUGUAUAAUUUAAAUAAAUCUUAACUUGGGGAAAAUAACAUUUAUAUCAUCAUAGAGCAUAAUAGUUAUUGGAUUCUAAUUAUUCACCAUUUCGUAGAAACUUAACUAGAAAUCUUUCUACAAUUAAAAGUAAAUCACAGCAAUGGAUCAGUAGGCAUAUUUGAAGGAACAUAAUACAAAAUAUUUUUUAGAGUUCUGAGGACUAGAAGCACUUAAAGUUGACACUUGAAACAACAUAGGGGCUAUUGCGGCCAUCCCACCACGCACUGAAAAUCUGCAUAUGAUCACCUUCCAUGUGGGUGGUUUCUCCAUAUCUGAGGAUUCUACCAGCCUCUGAUCAUGUAGCACUGUUGCAUUUACUAUUGAAAAAAUCCAAGUAUAAGUAGAUCUGUGCAGUUCAAACCUAUGUUGUUUAAGGGUCAACUGUAUAUAUAAAAAUGGGAAAGGCAUUUUGGUUUUAUGAUACCGGAUUGUGUGGUGGAUGGAAGACAAAGAGAUAUUUACUCUUUUAAGGUACAAAGAUUAUAAUAUCUGAUGAUACCACCCAUCUUUUGCCAUUCCAUUGUUUUCUAGAAGUAUGAUACUUUACUGAGUCAAAAGAGUCAGUGGUUAUCUAUAAUUUAGCUUAUAUUCUCUCUGAAAGGAUAUUCAUGUGAAGGUAAGGGAGUAAGAUCUCCAGAGGGCAAAAAGGCAGUGAAAGAACAAGUCAUGUAAGUUAGAGUCUUGGGUAAUACUUAACAGAGUUGGAUCAAGAUGAGGAAGGGGAUCUAUAAAAGGGGUUAAAAGGAGUAUUCAGAAGAAUGAAAAUCAAGAGAAUGUGGGAGUUCCAUCAUGGCUCAGUGGAAAUGAAUCUGACUAGUAUCAAGGAGGAUACAGGUUCGAUCCCUGGCCUCACUCUAUGGGUUAAGUAUCCAGUGUUGCCAUGAACUGUGAUGUAGGCCACAGACACAGCUCAGAUCUGGGAUCUGGUGUUGCUCUGGCUCCAAUUUGACCCCUAGCCUAGGAACUUUCAUAUGCUGCA
rnacentral:lncRNA from 1 species